CGGAAGACAGGGUGGGGACGGUGGCCCCGAGGGGACACGCGGCGGAGUCCGCCGGCCCUGUGCCCGAGCGCGCAGCCCUAUUUUGGCUCAGUGAGUGGUAGCCAUUGUUGCUUCCGGCUACCGGCUGACGCGAGGAGGGUUGUAAGACUCUCUCUGUGCAGCGAUGUGGAAGCCCAGGGCAGAGCAUGGUGAAGUCGGAGAAAGGGGGUGAGCGCAGCCUCCAGCCGGCAAGGGGAGCUUCCCUGGUACAUAAAAUUGCAGAGGCGCCCGUGGCAGAGGACGCGGCGCCUGCAAACACACGGAGGCGGGCGACCGGCAGAGCCUGGGGAGCUGGGGACUACGGGGGGACCAUGGCUGGGGCAGAUGGCUGCGGUGGAGUGGACGUUGCGGGGUCCGGAGUUGAGCGGAUAGGUGUGUACAGGCAGUCCCUAAAAUCCCGAACCCAAGAGCUGUUGUGUUCCGGAGAGCCCUGCAGUGCGGUGAUUUAUGGGACUCGGCCUCUCUCCGUGGCCUUCAGCUCAGAGUUCAGCCUGUCCACAGCCCUUGAUAGACAUCCUGAGAUUCCGAUGCCUCUGCUUCAUCUUCCCCAGAGUAUAACAGCCUGGCCAGAGGGUCACACAUGAGCAGACUGUCAUCACAGCAUCGGGAGCUGCGCGCCCCAGCGUCCUCCAGAGCCCAGCCUGGCCAGCGGCGGUUCCAGCACUGUUCUCACUGUGUCGUGGCGCGGGGGGCGGGGAAGGAAAGCAUUCCUCCUCGUUUCAGAUUGCACUUCCUAGUUGUCAGGCUUUGAACACCCCAUUGUCUGUUCCCUGCUGUUGGGGUUUGCGCUUCAUCAAAUGUGUGUCAUAAUCGCUUAUUUUCAAGUUAAGUGGUCCUUUUCUUAGUGUAUGGAAGCUUUGUCGAUUAUGUUUAUGUAGUAAUAAAAACACAUUCCUCA